rnacentral:rRNA from 1 species
CGAGCGGACAGAUGGGAGCUUGCUCCCUGAUGUUAGCGGCGGACGGGUGAGUAACACGUGGGUAACCUGCCUGUAAGACUGGGAUAACUCCGGGAAACCGGGGCUAAUACCGGAUGCUUGUUUGAACCGCAUGGUUCAAACAUAAAAGGUGGCUUCGGCUACCACUUACAGAUGGACCCGCGGCGCAUUAGCUAGUUGGUGAGGUAACGGCUCACCAAGGCGACGAUGCGUAGCCGACCUGAGAGGGUGAUCGGCCACACUGGGACUGAGACACGGCCCAGACUCCUACGGGAGGCAGCAGUAGGGAAUCUUCCGCAAUGGACGAAAGUCUGACGGAGCAACGCCGCGUGAGUGAUGAAGGUUUUCGGAUCGUAAAGCUCUGUUGUUAGGGAAGAACAAGUGCCGUUCAAAUAGGGCGGCACCUUGACGGUACCUAACCAGAAAGCCACGGCUAACUACGUGCCAGCAGCCGCGGUAAUACGUAGGUGGCAAGCGUUGUCCGGAAUUAUUGGGCGUAAAGGGCUCGCAGGCGGUUUCUUAAGUCUGAUGUGAAAGCCCCCGGCUCAACCGGGGAGGGUCAUUGGAAACUGGGGAACUUGAGUGCAGAAGAGGAGAGUGGAAUUCCACGUGUAGCGGUGAAAUGCGUAGAGAUGUGGAGGAACACCAGUGGCGAACGCGACUCUCUGGUCUGUAACUGACGCUGAGGAGCGAAAGCGUGGGGAGCGAACAGGAUUAGAUACCCUGGUA